rnacentral:rRNA from 1 species
UACGGGGGGGGCAAGCGUUGUUCGGAAUUACUGGGCGUAAAGGGCGUGUAGGUGGUAGUGCAAGUCUGGCGUGAAAUUUUUCGGCUUAACCGGGAAAGGUCGUCGGAUACUGCACAACUAGAGGACGGUAGAGGCGUGUGGAAUUCCGGGUGUAGUGGUGAAAUGCGCAGAUAUCGGGAGGAACACCCGUAGCGAAGGCGGUACUCUGGGCCGAAACUGACGCUGAGGAGCGAAAGCGUGGGAGCGAAACAGG